rnacentral:rRNA from 1 species
UACAGAGGUCCCGAGCGUUGUUCGGAUUCACUGGGCGUAAAGGGUGCGUAGGUGGCAUGGAAAGUUUGAUGUGAAAGCUCAGGGCUUAACCCUGAAAUGGCAUUGAAUACUGCUGUGCUGGAGGUUUGGAGGGGGGACUGGAAUUCUUGGUGUAGCAGUGAAAUGCGUAGAUAUCAAGAGGAACACCAGUGGCGAAGGCGAGUCCCUGGACAACAUCUGACACUGAGGUACGAAAGCUAGGGGAGCAAACAGG